rnacentral:rRNA from 1 species
AUCGUAACUCCUACGGGAGGCAGCAGUGGGGAAUAUUGCACAAUGGGCGCAAGCCUGAUGCAGCGACGCCGCGUGGGGGAUGAAGGCCUUCGGGUUGUAAACUCCUUUCGCUAGGGACGAAGCUUUUUUGUGACGGUACCUAGAUAAGAAGCACCGGCUAACUACGUGCCAGCAGCCGCGGUAAUACGUAGGGUGCGAGCGUUGUCCGGAAUUACUGGGCGUAAAGGGCUCGUAGGUGGUUUGUCGCGUCGUCUGUGAAAUUCUGGGGCUUAACUCCGGGCGUGCAGGCGAUACGGGCAUAACUUGAGUGCUGUAGGGGUAACUGGAAUUCCUGGUGUAGCGGUGAAAUGCGCAGAUAUCAGGAGGAACACCGAUGGCGAAGGCAGGUUACUGGGCAGUUACUGACGCUGAGGAGCGAAAGCAUGGGUAGCGAACAGGAUUAGAAACCCGUGUAGUCCUAGAGC